GAUGAACGCUGGCGGCGUGCCUAACACAUGCAAGUCGAGCGGACAGACGAGGCUUGCUCCUGGCUUCAGUGGCGGACGGGUGAGUAAUGACUAGGUGUCUAACCGACCGAGAGGGAUAACGUCAGGUCACGAGAGCGAAUACCGUACACGUCAAGAUAUUGAAAGUGAUGGUUCUACAGUCAUCAAGGUAUCUGAUGAGACUAGGUCGGAUUAGCUAGUUGGUGGGGUAACGGCUUACCAAGGCGACGAUCCGUAACCGAUCUGAGAGGCUGACCGGUCACACUGGAACUGAGACACGGUCCAGACUCCUACGGGAGGCAGCAGUAGGGAAUAUUGGGCAAUGGGCGAAAGCUUGAUCGAGCCACGCCGCGUGUGUGAAGAAGGUCUUCGGAUUGUAAAACUCUGUUAGUAGGGAAGAAGAACAGUGAGAGAAACUAUGCCUGUUUUGACGGUACCUACACAAAAAGCACCGGCUAACUACGUG
rnacentral:rRNA from 1 species